rnacentral:rRNA from 1 species
GACGAAGGAUGCAAGCGUUAUCCGGAUUCAUUGGGUUUAAAGGGCGCGUAGGCGGCUUGGUAAGUCAGUGGUGAAAUCUGUGGGCUUAACCCACAAACUGCCAUUGAUACUGCUGAUCUAGAGUACAGUUGCCGUUGGCGGAAUAUGACAUGUAGUGGUGAAAUACUUAGAUAUGUCAUAGAACACCGAGUGCGAAGGCAGCUAACGAAGCUGUAACUGACGCUGAGGCUCGAAAGUGCGGGGAUCAAACGGG